CGUGAGCCAUACAAAUCUACUUUACUGAGCUAGAAAACACACAGGAAAUGUGUGAUCUCCGCCUCGCCUCUCUGUGAAUGCAGGCCAGCGCAUUCAUAAGUGAGGGCCUCUGUGUGUGCACACAGGCCGAGGGCACAGGGCGGUACUCAACACCUGUGAUCUCCCCCAGGAGCCUGGCGCUAGUGCAGUGAACUCUCUUACCAGAAACCACAGAGGCAGCGGCCUCACCUUGAGUUUAUUUGGCACCUACAGAGCACAUUUCACUUUAGAGAGCAUCAAGUUCAACUUUUAAAUCCUUUUCAACCCAGACACAAAAAGGACUUCACUGCCAGUCCCUCGGUAGUGAUUUACAUAGUAACAGGCCCAGUGGAGUGGGGUUUAAUGAAAGGCU